rnacentral:tRNA from 1 species
GGGAAAGUAGCUCAGUGGUAGAGUGCUUGCUUCGCAUGCAAGAAGCUCUGAGUUCAAUUCCUCAGUAUCACA